rnacentral:misc_RNA from 1 species
GGCGCUCACAUAAAUGUCAAGAUCUCCCCCGGUGUCGGUGUCGGCGGGCCCGAUCAGGAAGGGAUGGUGAAGGAUCUUGGGGACGGGACUUACAGCGUGACUUAUGCCGUCCCGAAGCGCGGCAACUACAUGGUUCACAUCGACUGUAACGGGAAAGCUAUCAUGGGGAGCCCCUUCCCGGUGUUCUUCAGCCAGGGGACGCCCAUCGGCGUCCCCGGCUUGCCGGGGACAUCGACACCGUAUCCCAACAUGGUCAACCAGACCAUGCCUAACAUGCCGAAUUAUGCAGGUUCGGUUUCGGGGGCCUUUCCGGGACUGAUGGGGAUGAUUCCAGGCGCGGUUUUGGGAAGCUCAGGUGGUGUGGUAUUGCAGGGCAUUGGGCAGACACUUGGGGAGAUCUGCCGGGAGUAUUUGAACGGACGGUGUGCGAAAACGGACUGUAAGUUCAAUCAUCCGCCACAGAAUUUACUGAUGUCCGUGUUGACUGCAACGACUACUAUGGGGAGUUUGAGUCAGGCUCCAAUGGCUCCCUCGGCAGCUGCAAUGGCUGCUGCACAGGCAAUUGUUGCCGCACAGGCUCUUCAGGCUCAUGCUGCUC